UUUCUAAUUUGCUGCCUUUAUUUUCUUGCCAAAUUGUUAUGGGCAAUUAGCUUCCAACACUGUGGUGAACAAAACUGGGAAAGCAUGAGCAGUUAUACACAUGGGAUAAAAUAACAGUGGGCCACUGUAAACUGAGAUGAAAUAACCAUUUUCAUCUUUUGUGCAUGGACUAGAUAAUU